rfam:Xenopus tropicalis strain Nigerian Chr03_contig_3624, whole genome shotgun sequence.
GGCGCUGUGGCUUAGUUGGUUAAAGCGCCUGUCUAGUUAACAGGAGAUCCCGAGUUCGACUCUCAGUAGUGCCU